CUAUUAUAGAAAUAGUUCCCCAUCCCCUUAAUAUCCCCAGGAGUUCAGUAUAUUGCGAUAUUGCAAACCUAAAAGGUUUCUUGAAACAGAACAAUGAUGCAUAAAAUUAAUCUUUUACUACUGUAUUUCAUGUGUCCACCUUGCUAUCUUGCCUCUGUAUAGAAUUUCAGAUUUCCACUUGAAAAGGUAAGGGAAAACAAUCUUAUAAUAAUACUUACUAGAUAUAUUCAUGGGGGUUUAUGUUAUCCUAUUUAAAAUUGAAAUGGAAUUGAGAUACAACCAAAACUUAAGAGAAAACUAAUAUUAUUGGUAUCAUAAAGGGGAUAAAAUAUGAAGCAGAGAAAUGCGACAUUAGAUGAACAAAUGUCAUCUUACGUUGACGCAUUUCGACCAUGUCUACCUUUGUUCCUCCAAACAACUCUACUGAGAGAGUCCUGGUAGCCUGUCUUGCUGUCACCAAGAAAACAAGAUUUUGCUGGAAAGCAAAAAAUGAUGUCUAACUCACAGAAAAACAGUCCACGAUUUUCAAGACUUUUCCUGUUCCACCAUUUGGAGCUGUUACAUCUAGCAAAGAAUCCACCUCCCAGUGCAGCUUCUCAGCAUGUUUUGCUCUGAAGACUUCAAAUUCUUCUCUGCAUUUCACUUGCAGGCAGCAAAUACUCUUAUCUACUCACACGCUGUCAAAACUAUGUCUUUUGUGUCCCAUGGAAGUUGUGUGAUGUGAGGAAGUUCCUCCCUAGAACCCAUCUCUUGCACUGCAGGUGUUUGAGUUUUCCAGCCCGCUGGUAGCAGGCAGAUUUAUAUUAUUGGUAAUGCCAGCAACUGUUUUCUUGUCUUAGCUUAAGGUGGAAGCAAUUGCUCAGGGGUCCUGUAAAUCAUAGUGCUGUGGUAUCAUUGUCCAAAUUUAAAAAGUAAAGAAGAACCCUUUGGUACACAAUAAGCUGGCAGUAAUUUUCACAUUACUCCAGGCAGUAUCACAUUCAUUGCUUGGCAGAUCUGUUUUUAAUUCAGACUUCUCCUUUAGCUCCCUCUUGCAGGUACGCAAUAGUAUUUAACUGUUUGUGUCCAUCAGCCUUGGCUUUAUUUGCUGCCAAACUGUUUCAGGAUAUCUAGCAAAAAGCACAGACGAAUACUAAAGACUAUCUGUCCUACAGAGAUCACAGAAAUUUGGGGGCAGGGGAGAAAGAAAUCUAAGAGCUGACAGUACGAGCUAGUACCAGAGAGUACAAGGCCUACCUCACAUGCAGCAAAUUGGUCUCUAAAAAUACAUCUACCUGUCUGAGCUCAGGGACAUAGCACAACAAAUAAUAAGAGGACAGGAGAGGAAGCAAUACAGUUCUGUGAAAAACUGCACCCCAGGCUAGUCCUUUAAAAAAUUGUACCUGACAUCAUUUUAAGUAAUGCAGAUUAUUCCAGGGAAUGGAAAGUAUUCAUACCUUAACCUGCAGUUCUGUUAGCUGGCAGAAUUUAUUACCUGAAACUACUUCAGCAAGCUCUUGGGCCACUUGCAUAUCUAAUAUGCUUGUUUUGUGGGGGACAGAGAGGCAGAGACAGAGCAAAAGUAAGUUUUGGAGAGUGCCGCUAUUAGUGCUGUAAGCCCUACAUGAUAUAAAUGCAGUUUCUUUGAGGACUGAUGGUUGUACACAGGGAACAAUCAAAGGCAAAUCAAA